GUAUGCUUAAAUCUUUAAAACUACGCAACGGAUUUUGAUGCUGUUUUUUUUAUAAUAGAUAGAGUGAUUGAAGAGGAAGGUUUAUAUGUAUAAUAACGUCCAUUAAAUAGUGGAGAAAUCAAUAAUAAAUUACAGUUUCCGAAGCGAAUCGAGGACGGGUCGCUAGUUCGAAUAUAAAAUUUUCCUCGCCUCUGUAUUAUUUAGAAAUGUUUUAGAUUCUUAAAUACAAGUUUUUAUUAUUUUUUUAGGAAUUCACACAGUCCCUUAAUGUUUUCGUUUAGGAUUAAUUUAUAAUGUUGCCAAUGUAUAAGGGAGCCAUUUUUAUUUAAACACUGGCAGCAUACGAAUCUAAUAAAUCGCACGAAAAAAAUAAUUUUAUUUAAUUUUCAACGAACUUACAAUAAGGAAAGAAUCAAUCAAGAAUUUAGUAAAAUAAACACGAGAUCAAACCUUAAGUGUUUUAAUCACGCACUUUAUUACUUUAAAAAAGUUUAGAGACAACAAAGACAAGAAUUUUGACAAGAUAACAUUUUUGUGAACACAUAUUAUUAUAUCUGAAACAAAUCUUUUUUCUAUUUCAUUACAGACUAAUCUAAAACCUAUUUAUAGCAUUAACAAUGUUACUGACUAGCAUUGGCGAGUGGAGUGAGCUUACAAAAAAAAACAUUACAAACAACUAAGAAAAAAGCAAGUAUCCUUGGAUUCGUCUUUCCCAGAGUCUACUAGAUAUUCCGGCGUUUUAGUAUAGUGUGCGCGGAAGCGCUAGUCACCGCCUGAGGUAUGUGAGCGGCAGGGCGGGGGAGGUAGACAAGCUAACUCAGUCUGCCGUCGACCACCGCGGCGGUUGUACGAUACAGUUGUCCUUGCCAGUUUGUUCCAAGCAUACACGAGAUAAAACAUCCUAAGAUGGGUCCGCCAAUUACACGACCGGUGUAAAAUGUAAUUUACAAUGUGCACAGUUUUUUUUCUUAGACCGUAAUGAGAAUUAUGUGUUACUUCUCUACGAAAAUCUAAAGAAAUAAAAAAGAGAAUCCACAUUGAUGAUUUCGACAUCGGGGUGUUACGAACGAAAAUUCAUCAGUUUUUGUUGAUAAAAAAUCAAAAUAGAUAAAUAUUUUUUUUUUAUAAUGUACUAUAACGGUGAUAGCGUAUUUUUUUUAUUUUCUUAUUAAGAAAUGUUAAUUUGCUUAUAAAAUUGUUUUGUAUCGUAAAUAAAAAAAUAUGAUAAACACUUGAA